rnacentral:rRNA from 1 species
UACGAAGGGUGCAAGCGUUAAUCGGGAUUACUGGGCGUAAAGCGUGCGUAGGCGGUUCGUUAAGUCUGAUGUGAAAGCCCUGGGCUCAACCUGGGAAUGGCAUUGGAUACUGGCGGGCUAGAGUGCGGUAGAGGGGUGCGGAAUUCCCGGUGUAGCGGUGAAAUGCGUAGAGGUUGGGAGGAACAUCUGUGGCGAAGGCGGCACCCUGGACCAGCACUGACGCUGAGGCACGAAAGCGUGGGGAGCAAACAGG